CACCGUUGCCGCCGAAGUUUUAUCACAGAUUGUGAUAAUUUUGUAGUGGGGUGUCGGAGAACCGACUAAUUACGAUAAUAACAAUGGGGGGGGGAAGAAAGGGUUAAAGAAAUGAGAUCGAAAAUUCAGAAAGUGCAGUGUUGCAACACGUAGUCAAUUGAGGAAUAGAUAAAGAGAAAAAGGUAAACAAUGCAUGUGCUUUGCGUGGGAAAUAAGUGGAAAGACACUAAAUAAAAUAGAGACAAGCACUUGCAGAAAUAACAAUACAGGUAAGUAGCAGACUGGAGUGGAGACGACGGAAAACAGGUAAUAAAAGAGAUACUACACUGGAACAAAGACGAGACAAAACAGCUACAGGGAAGACAAGAAGCAUCGGCCGGCAUAGCAAAACACAAUGCUUGUAAAGACAUUGCGUUGCAUACCGGCCGACCCCGUCGUCCCCCCUGGUCGUCGAAAUUGGCGCCAUCCGAGGUCGUCAGAGGUAGCUGCAAUUAGCACCUCGUCGUCGUUGUGGCUGUGGCUGCCCGCUUGGAGAACCAGUGGCACUGGUCCGGCCACCAGCUGGGAGCCAGGAAAAGACGGCACGCAUAUUACUGUGGCGACACGGGUCCGGCCGCCAAAGUGAAAUGGAUUGGCAGAGAUGUGUCCAAUCAGUACACAGCGUUCCAGGAUAUCUGGUUGUCAAGAUGGUACCUCAUGUUGCGGGCGUAGGCCUUAAUGUCAUCCAUGGAGUCGUCAUCUGUCCACAUCUCAUCGUCAUCAUUUUCUUCGUCCG
rnacentral:misc_RNA from 1 species